rnacentral:rRNA from 1 species
AAAGGAAUAGACGGGGGCCCGCACAAGCGGUGGAGCAUGUGGUUUAAUUCGACGCAACGCGAAGAACCUUACCAGCCCUUGACAUACCAAUCAUGGGGGUCAGAGAUGACCUCUGUCGGUUCGGCCGGAUUGGAUACAGGUGCUGCAUGGCUGUCGUCAGCUCGUGUCGUGAGAUGUUGGGUUAAGUCCCGCAACGAGCGCAACCCUCAUUACCAGUUGCCAACGGGUAGGGCCGGGCACUCUGGUGAAACUGCCGGUGAUAAGCCGGAGGAAGGUGGGGAUGACGUCAAGUCCUCAUGGCCUUUAUGGGCUGGGCUACACACGUGCUACAAUGGCGGUUACAGAGGGGAGCGAAGUCGCGAGAUGGAGCAAAUCCUUGAAAAGCCGCCUUAGUUCAGAUUGCACUCUGCAACUCGGGUGCAUGAAGCUGGAAUCGCUAGUAAUCGCGGAUCAGAACGCCGCGGUGAAUACGUUCCCGGGCCUUGUACACACCGCCCGU